CAGUUCUACAUGCAACACUUACAAAAACAAACAACGCCUGUCACCAUUUCACUGUGUGCUAACGCUGGCUGAGAGUUAUGGGAGCUGAAUUGUUUUUGCUUUCUGAAAUUCUUCAAACUACGGACGGCAAGCAGCUACUGCAAAAGUCUCAUUUGAAAGAAAUUAGCGAUGGAGCAGAGAGCAGUGAAUGAAGGGAGACUAUGAGCUCACCAGAGCAGGAUACCACGUGGUCUUCUUUUUUUCCCCGGUGGCGACCCCCUCCACACAGACCACUUUGCCGAAC